UACGUAGGUGGCGAGCGUUGUCCGGAUUUACUGGGCGUAAAGGGAGCGUAGGCGGACUUUUAAGUGAGAUGUGAAAUACCCGAGCUCAACUUGGGUGCUGCAUUUCAAACUGGAAGUCUAGAGUGCAGGAGAGGAGAAUGGAAUUCCUAGUGUAGCGGUGAAAUGCGUAGAGAUUAGGAAGAACACCAGUGGCGAAGGCGAUUCUCUGGACUGUAACUGACGCUGAGGCUCGAAAGCGUGGGGAGCAAACAGGGUUAGAUACCCU
rnacentral:rRNA from 1 species